UACGUAGGGGGCUAGCGUUGUCCGGAAUCAUUGGGCGUAAAGCGCGCGUAGGCGGCCAGAUAAGUCCGGUGUGAAAGUCACAGGCUCAACCUGUGAAUGCCGCUGGAAACUGUCUGGCUAGAGUCCGGAAGGGGCGAGUGGAAUUCCUGGUGUAGCGGUGAAAUGCGCAGAUAUCAGGAAGAACACCAACGGCGAAGGCAGCUCGCUGAGACGGUACUGACGCUGAGACGCGAAAGCGUGGGGAGCGAACAGG
rnacentral:rRNA from 1 species